AAGAGGGGAGGGGUUCUCUGUUCUCUCUGGCCAAAGCCAGAAUUUGGCAAGGAAGAGUCGCCGGACCGUCGCAGGGUCACCGUUGACCGCUGUCGCCGGCCACCGCACGCGGUGGCUGGAAUUUCGAAAGGUAUCUAUUUUUUAUUUAUUUUUUUGUAUUUUUUUAUGUCUUUAAUAUAUGCAUAUAUAUGUAGGGACUAGAUUCAAAAAUAGAAAGAAAAAAAAGAAACAAGAACACGAAAAUAAUAAAACUAUCACCUUAGAUUUCCAACUUUGCUCCUGUGUUUGAACUGUUUUUCUUUGCUUUUUGAUAUUGCUAGAGUUUUUAGCUUCUUUGCUUGUGUUUUAAAACCUAAGAUUAUUUUUUCAUUACACCAAAGGCCCAAUGUACAAUCGUUUUUGGAUUCAACCUUUUAUAGGCGUUUUUUCUACAACUUGCUCUUUUUGACUAAUCUGUCUCUUCUUCUUUUAUUGCUGUAGGCUAACGGUGGUGAAGCAGAGGCCACUUGCAGGCAUCGGUGGUGGAUGGGGUGGGGAGCAUGUGCUGACGGCUAGGGUUUUAGGUUUUCAUUUAUUUUUCUUUAAUGUAUUGAGCUAGGUUAUUUGGGUUUUGGGUAGGUUUAAGUUGG
rnacentral:lncRNA from 1 species